rnacentral:rRNA from 1 species
UGCACUUACAAGCUGUGGAAGCACAUUUCUUGUGUGACCGCGUACUUUUUGUAGAACGGGCCAACGAGUUACGUUAAGUAGCAAGGUUAAGCACUUAAGGUGUGGAGCCGUAGCGAAAGCGAGUUUUAACUGAGCGUUCAGUUACUGGACGUAGACCCGAAACCGGGCGACCUACCCAUGAGCAGGAUGAAGCGAAAGUAAAAUUUCGUGGAGGUCCGAACCCACGAGCGUUGAAAAGCUCGGGGAUGACUUGUGGGUAGCGGUGAAAUUCCAAUCGAG